AUCACUGAUAUUUUGGCUUUUUUGUUUUCAGAUUUUUUCCAUUAUGAAAUUGCUGAUAUUUCAUCCUUUUGACCUAUAAAAUUGUUAAUAUCAUAUAGCUUACUCUAACAUAUCCAAAUAAUGUCAUAUAUAUUAUUUUAUGUAUCAAAAAGCAUACUAAAUAGAUUGUUUUAUAGCUUACUUUUCUCAUUUUUAACAUUAUAAUUUCAGCAUUUGUUCAUAAUAUUAAACUUUUUGAAAACAUUAUUGUGAAUGACUAUUAUAUUUCAAUAUGUGGAUGUACCACAAUUUACCUAAUGAUUUACCUACUUUUGAAUACAAGUUGUUUCUAAUUUGUUGCUAUUACAAAUAAUCCUCUGAUAAACAUCUCUAUGCAUAAUUAAUUUGUGUUUACUUCAGAUUAUUUUUAUUUCUAGAAAUGAGAUUCUUGGUUAUAGGUUAAACAUAUUUUCUUGGAUUUUUUGUUUGAGACAGAGCCUCACUCUGUCACCCAGACUGGAAUGCAGUGGCAUGAUCUCAGUUUACUGAAACCUCUGCCUUUUGGGUUCAAGCAAUUCUCAUGUCUCAGCCUCCCACGCAACGUGUUGGACCUUCCUGAGCUUCUCAGAAGAGAGAGGGUUUUCUUUUGAGGCAAACUUGAUAGUACAUUUUGAUAGUACAGGAGGCAGUACUGCCUGGUGACAGAAAAGCGCCAGCUUUGUUAGCAGGACCCCCUGGCAGAGAUGCAAGCUGUGCCACUUACCAGCCAGGGGACCUUGAGCCAGCUGCUUGGGCUCACUCACCCUGUUUCCUCAGCUGCAAUUGGGAUGAACAGACUGCCUGCUUCGGGGUUGCCUAAGGCUCACAUUGGUUAAUGAUGUGAAACACUUAGCGCAGUGCCUGGCAUGGAGAGAAUUCUCAUUAGAUGAUACCUUGGCUGGGCUUUAGGAGCUACAGAAGAAACUUCAUCUCCGUGAGCUCAGCAUGUUUCUAGCUUUCCUUUUUGUUUUCUAUUCAACCUUUCACCCAACUCAGCUUCUCAGUCCCUAAAUGACAAAGGUUUGGGAAGGAAGAUCUGGACCAAGGCUUGCAAUUGUUUCUGAUAAUUAAAUGUUAUGUUUUCUUCAAUCUAAAUAAGUUUGCCUGUACAGCCUUGUUCAAUGGUUGUUUUUUUUUUCUCUCCCUGAUAAAUGACCCUCAACUUAUUUUCCCUCAUUUAAUUGCUUAUUUACAUACAGUGCCUAGAAGCAAAUAAAUUUAAUGGCCCCUAGCAAUUGGCCUUCAGGUAUCAAGUUUAAGUCCCUUUAAGCAGAACAGCAAAUUGAGCACGGAAUGAACUGGUUUCAUGGUAGUGUACUGCAAUUAGAUGCAAGAAUAGGGAAAGCAGGGUGCUUCAAGCGGUGACACAAUUAGAAUAGCACUGGGGGGGCUUCUCUUUCCACUUCUUCAACUCCCCCUGGAUUCCACUGGCUAAAGAGUCAAUGACAUCCCUGAAAAAUCUUCCCUCUCUUGUUUCUCUGAUGCCACCUCUGUGUUCUCUGCCUCACUGGCCACACUUCCUUUACCUCCCAAACUUUUAACUCUGAGUGUCCCAAACUUGUCUCAUCACCUACCCCUGCUGCCCAGCUCCCCACCCUGUUCCCCUUCUGACACGGGCACUCUCCUUCUGAUCUCUUGGGAGAGAAACAAUGAAGGGCUAUUUGGCACUUUUAUUUCUAUUCAAGGAACCAGACUGUGAACAAGUUUACCAUUUAGUCCUUUGGACUGUGUCUUGAAUUCAUCCCUCUUCUCCAUUCUCACCAGCACCAUCAUCAUGAUGGCUAAUAUUUCCUGAGUAUCUUUCAUCCAGGCAUGAUGUCAGGUGCACCAACUUACUUAAUCCUCAUAGCCACCACCUGAGCAAGCGCCUGUUUUAUAAAUGGACCAGUUCUUGCUGCUAUUGUACAAGUUAUUUUCUUUCUAUAACAUCCUCCUUGUCCUCCUUCCACAUUCUUAAAGAAACUUGCCCUUCCUUUAAAGUACUCAGGGAGCCCUGCAUUGCUUCUUGAAGACUUCUCCAGCUUCAUCAACUCACAGUGGUCUCUCUUUUCACUAAAUGUUCAAUAUGCUGCACAUAAAUACUCCAAGUUAGCACAGAAUUGUUCUAUGGCUGUCAUAUAUAUUAAAAAUAAUUAAAAGUUCGCUUUUUCUC